ACUAGACUACUUCAACACUGUUUCCCCUGCCAUAACCCCUCACACUAGACUACUGUUUCCCCUGCCAUAACCCCUCACACUAGACUACUUCAACACUGUUUCCCCUGCCAUAACCCCUCACACUAGACUACUACUACUGUUUCCCCUGCCAUAAUCCCUCACACUAGACUACUUCAACACUGUUUCCCCUGCCAUAACCCCUCACACUAGACUACUGCCACACUGUUUCCCCUGCCAUAACCCCUCACACUAGACUACUGCUUCCCCUGCCAUAACCCCUCACACUAGACUACUGCUUCCCCUGCCAUAACCCCUCACACUAGACUACUGCAACACUGUUUCCCCUGACAUAACCCCUCACAUGCAGAAUUGUUGUCCAAAAUGGUUUGAAUAUUUGAUCUAUAGGCUGAGAGCUUCAUAAGCUGAUUAGAUUGUGGGGUUUGAAUAGUGUGAGAAGACAACAUAUUUGGUGAGAAUCAGAACUUAGGGUACGAAAUCAAUUCAGGCUCUUAAAGGGGCAGUAGCCUAGAUUGAAAAUUGUACACCCAAUUACAGCAUUAUUGAAUCUGCAGUUAUUCUAUUUAUUGUUGCCAAUGUUAAUAGUAUCUUCUGAUUACAAUUGUUGCAUCUUAACUAAAUGCAAUCUAUUAGCUUGCAACAUAUAAGUAGGUUUAUAUAUAGCUGUCCGAUAACACGUUCUGAUGGAAUGACUUGUCCUGCACUUUGUAUAAACCACGAGUACAUUGAGUGAAUGUUCCUUUCUAAACAUAGCAAUGUGAAUGCAAAGAGGACUGACCUAUAAAAAAAUAAAGUGAACUGGCAAAAGAGUUGAGUCAUUCAAAGUCAGGGGCAGUGUGAAUAGAGAGAACAGCUAUUUUCCCCAAAAAAUCCCCCUCAAGAGUUGACUUUAAAAGAACCGAUCUCAGUCCUCUGAAGAGGACUAUGUGAAAACACCCUCAGAGGAUCCAUCUCAUUAUCUAGAAGAGGAUGUGCCUUCAGACUUAAUCCACAUUGUUACAGCCUGAAUGUAAAGUGUUUCCCCUCGUCCAUCUACACACUAAUAAUGACAGUGAAAACAUGUCUUUAGAAAUGUCUUCACAUUUAUGUAAGUAUUCAC
ensembl:lncRNA